rnacentral:lncRNA from 1 species
GGACAAUCAACGCGCGCUACAAAAAAACCGCCACAAGAAAAAAACGUCUUGGUCCGCCUUGCUACCUGACUGGUUGAGCACUGUGGGAACGUCACGUGACUCGCGAAGAAGACGGAGGUCCGAAAAGGACAAACUCAGGAGCGUCUGCGCGUUAUGGGUGGAUGGGACUAGGUGCAGUGUUUCUGUCCCUUUGGGCUUCCGUCUCCCGAGCUUCUUCCGGUCCGUUCAGGUUCAAGGCUCUAAACCAGGGACUUCCCAUUGGUCGUUCGAGGCGGGGAGACACGGACGCUUUAAAGCGCUGGCCUACAGGACUUUCCACUCUACGCGCCAGCAACAGCCAGCAGUGGCAGGAGCCCCAGGAGUACCGUCCCCGAGAGCUCCUGCGCAAGCGCAGGUGACAGAGUAGAAGCAGUCCAUCUCCUUACCUCGCCCAGCAAGGGCUGGGCCCCAGCAGGCGACGCUGAUCUGAAGACUUCUCUGCAGGGUCUACUGUGCAGGCGAGGCUAGCUGUUCCUUGUUCUCCCUCUGAAUUUGUUCAGAAAUCAUACUGCUUGCUGUGCGUUGUUGCUUUAGGCCUUGUUUUGUGAUAUUUGUUCUUGCAUUUUGUCAUGUAAAUAUUCUUAAGACGUGUAAAUUCUCAUAAAAAUCACAUAAACAUCAU